rnacentral:rRNA from 1 species
CUGUAGGUGAACCUGCUGCUGGAUCAUUAC